CCCGCGCUGCCCAUCUCUAUCUCCAGGCUUAGAGCCAUCUACGGAGAGGAUCAGCCGCCCGUGGACCGAGGUCUUGAAGUGGAUGCUGAAGAAGACUCGAUCCCUAUUGCAUAAUCCAAAGGAGAAUCUUGCAUCUUUAUGCGUUACAUCUUGAGAACUAGUAGCAGGAAGGGACGCUAUUCAAUAGGUAGACAGAAGAAACCUACAGCUAAGACAUUUGUACCAAAUCUAUGGGAAAGGCAUAAUUUUUUGAUAUGCUGAAUUGAUAAGUUCGACGUUCUCUAUUUUUGGCUGUGGCAGUUAGUCUCUAAUGGGAAUGUUCCUAAUGCCUGUUAAUUUCAACUUGUGAAUCUCAAAGUGUUUGGCACGUUUUGAUGCAGUAUGGUUCUGUGCA